rnacentral:rRNA from 1 species
UUAGAUACCCUAUUAUACUGGUAAAAUCUUAAAUUAUUAAUAGAUAUAAUCUUUAAAUUUGAAGAAUUUGGCGGUGGUUUAGUCUUGUUAGAGGAACCUGUUUUUGAAUCGAUACUCCACGUAAAAUUUUACUUAUUUUAUUAGUUUGUAUACCGUCAUUAUCAGAUAAUUUUCAAAGAAUUAAUUAUUAAGAUCUCUCUUAGUAUGAAAAUUAAAUUAGAUCAAGGUGCAGCUUAUAGAUAAGUUAAAAUGGGUUACAAUAAAAUUUAUUUAAAUGGAAUAAUAAAAGGAAGUUGUAUUAUGAAGGCGGAUUUAAUUGUAAUGGAAAUUUAAUAAGUUUCAAAAAUAUAAGCUCUAAAUCAUGUACAUAUCGCCCGUCGCUA